rnacentral:rRNA from 1 species
UGGGGAAUUGUUCGCAAUGGGCGCAAGCCUGACGACGCAACGCCGCGUGGAGGACGAAGAUCUUCGGGUCGUAAACUCCUGUCGAGCGGGAAGAACACCUUCCGGGCGAAUAGUCCGGACGGUUGACGGUACCGCUAAAGGAAGCCCCGGCUAACUCCGUGCCAGCAGCCGCGGUAAUACGGGGGGGGCAAGCGUUGUUCGGAAUUACUGGGCGUAAAGGGCUCGUAGGCGGCCAACUAAGUCAGACGUGAAAUCCCCAGGCUCAACCUGGGAACUGCGUCUGAUACUGGAUGGCUUGAAUCCGGGAGAGGGAUGCAGAAUUCCAGGUGUAGCGGUGAAAUGCGUAGAUAUCUGGAGGAAUACCGGUGGCGAAGGCGGCAUCCUGGACCGGCAUUGACGCUGAGGAGCGAAAGCCAGGGGAGCAAACGGG